GACGAACGCUGGCGGCGUGCCUAAUACAUGCAAGUAGGACGCAGUUGCGAACGGGUGAGUAACGCGUAGGUAACUGCCUAUGAGAGGGGGAUAACUAUUGGAAACGAUAGCUAAUACCGCAUACUAGUAGAUGGACCUGCGUUGUAUUAGGUAGUAGGUAGGGUAAUGGCCUACCAAGGCAACGGUACAUAACCGAACUUGAAGGGUGAUCCGCCACAAUGGGACUGGGGAACGGCCGAGAAUCCUACGGGAGGAAGCAGGAGGGAAUCUUCGGCAAGUGGGGGAACCCUGACCGAGCAACGCCGCGGGAGUGAAGAAGGUUUUCGGAUCGUAAAGCUCUGUUGUUAAGGAAGCGGUACUUACCCAGAAAGGGACGGCUAACUACGUGCCAGCAGCCGCGGUAAUAC
rnacentral:rRNA from 1 species